UUGGAGUAGUAUUAUUAAUGAAAUUUAACGGAUUUGGCGGCAAGAUAGCUCCUUAGAGGAACCUGCCCUGUAAACGAUGAGCCACGAGGUACUCUACUUUUUUUGGUAAUCAGUUUGUAUAUCGCUGUUGUCAGUUAGAUUCUUGAGAAUAUUUUCGUUCAUGAUAAGUUCAUUGACUUCAAGUAAAGGUGCAGCUUAUAAAAAAGAUAGAGGUGGGUUACAUUUAUAAGAAUAAAACGGAAAGGAUAGUUGAAAUAGUCCUUGAAGGUGGAUUUAACUGUAAAACUUAAAUAGGUUUGGUGAGAGCUC
rnacentral:rRNA from 1 species